rnacentral:rRNA from 1 species
UACGUAGGCAGCGAGCGUUGUUCGGAGUUACUGGGCGUAAAGGGUGUGUAGGCGGUUGUUUAAGUUUGGUGUGAAAUCUCCCGGCUCAACUGGGAGGGUGCGCCGAAUACUGAAUAACUAGAGUGCGGGAGAGGAGAGUGGAAUUCCUGGUGUAGCGGUGAAAUGCGUAGAUAUCAGGAGGAACACCGGUGGUGUAGACGGCUCUCUGGACCGUAACUGACGCUGAGACACGAAAGCGUGGGUAGCAAACAGG